rnacentral:lncRNA from 1 species
AAGAAAGGAUGGAAAUUUCACCUUUUUCACUGAGAAGAGGAGGAAGUUUGGGGACAGAGGCAGAAUCAUCACCUCACUUGCAGUCCACACUAUUUUUUAUUUUCUUUUAAGCCAGCGGCUCAACACACAAUCCAUGGUAAAUAGGAAUAUGGUUGUUCCCACAGGAAGGAAAUCUGCAAGCCACCAGUACUGCCUUACAAAAAAAGGUGCUUCCCCUUCCUCCAACCCCAUAUGCAAAUCCCAACAUACCAGAUGUGAAAGCAAGAAGGAAUGGAAAGAGAAGUCUACUCACAGGUCCCAUUCUGAGGCCUCCAGCCAAGGGGACGCCAUGGUGAAAACACUGCAGAGAGACCAUUAUGUGAGUUGCCACUGUCAUGUUGCUGUGUCUCAAUGAGCAAAUAGAAGUAGCCCUGCCUCAGAGGCCACAUUCUUCACAAGGGUCAAGAUUCACACUUGCCAUCCCAAAGCUUCCCACUAGGUGUGCUGUGGCAUGCAGACAGCCUUGGCUGGUUGCAGGCAUACCGCGUAAGCUGAAGUCUGGGUCAGCUGAAACCUCUGGCUUGAAGAGCCUCAUCUCUUUAUCCCAAUGGGUUGUAACAUUUUUUCUCUAAAAUCUAUGGUGUGAAGAAAGUAUAACAAGCAUUGCAACAGGGGUAAAGCAGGAAUAAUAAUUAUUUAAGCAUCUGCUCCAGAGCAGGUUUUCCAUAUUCCAGUCACAUGAGUUAUCUCUUUUGAUCUUCCUAAUAACCCUGGGAGGGAGAGACUAGUUCUUCUCCUUGCAAUAAGGAUGUUAGGCUCAGAGAAGUGAAGUAACAUGCCCAUGGUCAUGAAGCUGGAGAGAGUUGGAGCUGAGAUUCAAUCCCAGGUCUUCUCACUCAAUAUUAUUAAUGCCAUGAGAUUGCCCACAACAGCAUCAGCUGGAGGCUCACAGCCAGGCUCCUGGGGUUGCCUCCUGCUGAGGCUGAACAAUAGCUCAGAUAGAUCUGAAGAGCGGAGGUCAGAGUCAGCCGGCAAUCAGCACCACUGUAGGCACAUAAACAACAACUACAGCAAGAAGUGACAUUAAUACUUGUAAUUCCAAGCAAAUAUCCAAAGAGGCUGAUAAGGCAUAAGUGAAAGAACUUGAAGGUAAGAAAUGUCCACAGCUCAUACCCAUUAGGAACCCCCUUUGUCUUGUGCCUGAGAUUUUCUGUGGUUUACAUGGGGCAGAAGCCAGGUUGAGAAGAGGGGAUGAGAGUUCCCAAGAGGACUUUCUUGUAGGACUUGCAGGACCAGGUAAUAGUGGUUCCUGCAAAAAAUUUGCAGCAGUUUCUGGUUAGCAAACCUGACAUGCUACAUGAAGGGAACAUGAGGAUAACAAAUUAAGCCAUCUCAUGAAGACCCUCA